rnacentral:rRNA from 1 species
GUCUAUGGCCAUGCCACCCUGAACAAGCCCAAUGUCGGAUCUCAUAAGCAGGGUUGGGCCUGAUUAGUAGUUGGAUGGGAGACCACCUAGGAAGACCAGAUGCUGUAGGCA